rnacentral:rRNA from 1 species
UACGUAGGGGGGCUAGCGUUGUCCGGAUUUAUUGGGCGUAAAGAGCGUGUAGGCGGCCUGGUAGGUCUGCUGUGAAAACUCGAGGCUCAACCUCGAGAUGUCGGCGGAAACCAUCUGGCUAGAGUCCGGAAGAGGAGAGUGGAAUUCCUGGUGUAGCGGUGAAAUGCGCAGAUAUCAGGAGGAACACCGGUGGCGAAGGCGGGUCUCUGGGCCGAAAUUGACGCUGAGGAGCGAAAGCGUGGGGAGCAAACAGG